rnacentral:RNase_P_RNA from 1 species
CAGGUCGGCCGGACUGUCGCUGCCCGGGGCGGGAUAACACCCGACCGCCGGGGGGAGGAAAGUCCGGGCUCCACAGGGCGCGGUGGUGGCUAACGGCCACCGUCCGAAGGAAACGGCUCCGGGGAAACCCGGAAACCGGCUCCGAAGGACAGGGACAGUGCAACAGAAAACAUACCGCCGGCCGCGUUCGCGCGGUGGCAAGGGUGAAAUGGUGGGGCGGCCCAGCCGCUUAAUGUAAGAGCCCACCAGCAGCCGGGUGACCGGCUGGCUUGGCAAACCCCACCGGGAGCAAGACCAAAUAAGAGGGGAGGGCCUGCCCGGCCCGCCAUCACCCUCGGGUAGGUCGCACGAGCGCGGGGGCAACCCCGGGCCUAGAGAAAUGACCGUCACCCGGGGCUUGUCCCCGGGAACAGAACCCGGCUUACAGGCCGGCCUGGCAU